GGGGGUGACCGGUUUCGACAGGUUGACUUUAGGGGCGCGGAGCGCAGGCGGGGGUUGGCCGGCUGGCCCCCUUAUCAAGCCGACUAAAACAAAACUGCCAACGACAAUCUCGAACUGGCAAUUGCUGCCUGAUCUUCAGGUAACAAGCGGGUGCCCGUGAUCUUCCGGUAGCGG
rnacentral:tmRNA from 1 species